GGCGGCAUAGCCAAGUGGUAAGGCCGAGGUCUGCAAAAUCUCUACCCCUAGUUCGAGUCUAGGUGCCGCCUCCA
rnacentral:tRNA from 2 species